CUCGUAGGCGGUUUGUCGCGUCUGCUGUGAAAAUCUGAGGCUCAACCUCGGACCUGCAGUGGGUACGGGCAAACUAGAGUGCGGUAGGGGAGAUUGGAAUUCCUGGUGUAGCGGUGGAAUGCGCAGAUAUCAGGAGGAACACCAAUGGCGAAGGCAGAUCUCUGGGCCGUAACUGACGCUGAGGAGCGAAAGCGUGGGGAGUGAACAGGAUUAGAUACCCUGGUAGUCC
rnacentral:rRNA from 1 species